rnacentral:rRNA from 1 species
UACGGAGGGUGCAAGCGUUAUCCGGAUUCACUGGGUUUAAAGGGUGCGUAGGCGGAUAUGUAAGUCCGUGGUGAAAUCUCUGGGCUUAACCCGGAAACUGCCAUGGAUACUAUGUGUCUUGAAUGUUGUUGAGGUGAGCGGAAUAUGUCAUGUAGCGGUGAAAUGCUUAGAUAUGACAUAGAACACCAAUUGCGAAGGCAGCUCACUAAGCAAAUAUCGACGCUGAGGCACGAAAGCGUGGGGAUCAAACAGG